UACGAAGGGUCCAAGCGUUAUCCGGAUUUAUUGGGUUUAAAGGGUGCGUAGGCGGCUUAUUAAGUCAGUGGUGAAAGCCUGCAGCUUAACUGCAGAACUGCCAUUGAUACUGAUGAGCUUGAAUAUACUUGAGGUUGGCGGAAUGUGUCAUGUAGCGGUGAAAUGCUUAGAUAUGACACAGAACACCGAUUGCGAAGGCAGCUAGCUAAAGUAUGAUUGACGCUGAUGCACGAAAGCGUGGGGAGCAAACAGG
rnacentral:rRNA from 1 species